GCGUAGGAAUCUACCCAGUAGCGGGGGAUAAGCCAGAGAAAUUUGGUCUAAUACCGCAUACGCCCUUCGGGGAAAGCAGGGGAUCUUCGGACCUCGCGCUAUUAGAUGAGCCCGCGUAAGAUUAGCUAGUUGGUGGGGUAAAGGCCUACCAAGGCGACGAUCUUUAGCUGGUCUGAGAGGAUGAUCAGCCACAUUGGGACUGAGACACGGCCCAAACUCCUACGGGAGGCAGCAGUGGGGAAUAUUGCACAAUGGGCGCAAGUGAUGCAGCCAUGCCGCGUGUGUGAAGAAGGCUCUAGGGUUGUAAAGCACUUUCAGUGGGGAGGAAAGGGUGUAAGUUAAUACCUUGCAUCUGUGACGUUACCCACAGAAGAAGCACCGGCUAACUCCGUGCCAGCAGCCGCGGUAAUACGGAGGGUGCAAGCGUUAAUCGGAAUUACUGGGCGUAAAGCGCGCGUAGGGGUUAUCUAAGCUAGAUGUGAAAGCCCAGGGCUCAACCUUGGAAUUGCAUUUAGAACUGGGUAGCUAGAGUACAGCAGAGGAGUGUGGAAUUUCAGGUGUAGCGGUGAAAUGCGUAGAGAUCUGAAGGAACAUCAGUGGCGAAGGGACACUCUGGGCUGAUACUGACGCUGAGGUGCGAAAGGUGGGGAGCAAACAGGAUUAGAUACCCUGGUAGUCCACGCCGUAAACGAUGUCGACUAGCCGUUGGGGUCCUUGAGGCCUUAGUGGCGCAGUAACGCGAUAAGUCGACCGCCUGGGGAGUACGGCCGCAAGUUAAAACUCAAAUGAAUUGACGGGGGCCCGCACAAGCGUGGAGCAUGUGGUUUAAUUCGAAGCAAC
rnacentral:rRNA from 1 species